GGAUGAACGCUGGCGGCAUGCCUAAUACAUGCAAGUCGAACGGUGAAGGGGGAGCUUGCUCUCCCGGAUCAGUGGCGAACGGGUGAGUAACACGUAGGUAACCUGCCCAUGUGCCCGGGACAACGGUUGGAAACGACUGCUAAAACCGGAUAGGUAACAGAGAGGCAUCUCACUGUUAUUAAAGUGGCUACGGCCAUGAACAUGGAUGGACCUGCGGUGCAUUAGCUAGUUGGAGUGGUAACGGCACACCAAGGCGACGAUGCAUAGCCGACCUGAGAGGGCGACCGGCCACAUUGGGACUGAGACACGGCCCAAACUCCUACGGGAGGCAGCAGUAGGGAAUUUUCGUCAAUGGGGGCAACCCUGAACGAGCAAUGCCGCGUGAGUGAAGACGGUCUUCGGAUUGUAAAGCUCUGUUACGAGAGAAAAAGGACGUAUAUAGGGAAUGAUAUACGUUUGAUGGUAUCUCGCCAGAAAGUCACGGCUAACUACGUGCCAGCAGCCGCGGUAAUACGUAGGUGGCGAGCGUUAUCCGGAAUGAUUGGGCGUAAAGGGUGCGUAGGCGGCACGAUAAGUCCGGAGUGAAAGGCUACAGCUCAACUGUAGUAUGCUCUGGAAACUGUCGAGCUAGAGAGCAGAAGAGGGUGACGGAACUCCAUGUGUAGCGGUAAAAUGCGUAGAUAUAUGGAAGAACACCAGUGGCGAAGGCGGUCACCUGGUCUGCCACUGACGCUGAAGCACGAAAGCGUGGGGAGCAAAUAGGAUUAGAUACCCUAGUAGUCCACGCCGUAAACGAUGAGAACUAAGUGUUGGGGGAAUAACUCAGUGCUGCAGUUAACGCAAUAAGUUCUCCGCCUGGGGAGUAUGCACGCAAGUGUGAAACUCAAAGGAAUUGACGGGGGCCCGCACAAGCGGUGGAGUAUGUGGUUUAAUUCGAAGCAACGCGAAGAACCUUACCAGGCCUUGACAUCCCUUGCGAAGACCUAGAGAUAGGUUAGAGGUUAUCAAGGAGACAGGUGGUGCAUGGUUGUCGUCAGCUCGUGUCGUGAGAUGUUGGGUUAAGUCCCGCAACGAGCGCAACCCUCGUGAUAUGUUACCAAUAUUGAGUUAGGGACUCAUAUCAGACUGCCGGUGACAAACCGGAGGAAGGUGGGGAUGACGUCAAAUCAUCAUGCCCCUUAUGGCCUGGGCUACACACGUACUACAAUGGCGGCUACAAAGAGCAGCGACACUGUGAGGUGGAGCGAAUCUCAUAAAGGCCGUCCCAGUUCGGAUUGAAGUCUGCAACCCGACUUCAUGAAGUUGGAAUCGCUAGUAAUCGCGAAUCAGCAUGUCGCGGUGAAUACGUUCUCGGGCCUUGUACACACCG
rnacentral:rRNA from 1 species